rnacentral:rRNA from 1 species
CCCAUACGCCUACAAGCUGUCGGAGCCGCUUCGUGCGGUGACGGCGUGCCUUUUGCAUAAUGAGCCUACGAGUUACUCAUCACCAGCGAGGUUAAGUACUUCAGGUACGUAAGCCGAAGCGAAAGCGAGUCUGAAUAGGGCGUCAAGUUGGUGGUGGUAGACGCGAAACCUUAGUGAUCUACCCAUGGGCAGGGUGAAGGUUUGGUAACACAAACUGGAGGCCCGAACCGGUAAACGUUGAAAAGUUUUCGGAUGACCUGUGGGUAGGGGUGAAAGGCCAAUCAAACUGGGAAAUAGCUCGUACUCUCCGAAAUGCAUUUAGGUGCAGCCUCUGUUGUUUUGUUCUAGAGGUAGAGCUACUGAUUGGAUGCGAGGGCUUCACCGCCUAUCAAAUCCGGCCAAACUCCGAAUGCUAGAACAUGAAGACAGGGAGUGAGCCAGCGGGUGCUAAGGUCCGUUGACGAAAGAGGGAGAACUCAGACCAUCAGCUAAGGUCCCCAAUUAUAUGCUAAGUUGGAAUUAAAACGGGGUGGGACUGCUUAGACAGCUAGGAUGUUGGCUUGGAAGCAGCCAUUCAUUUAAAGAGUGCGUAACAGCUCACUAGUCGAGCGGUCCUGCAUGGAUAAUACGCGGGCAUAAGCAUAUAACCGAAGCUAUGGGAUUGUAGAUGAUACAAUCGGUAGGAGAGCAUUCCAUUCAGCAUAGAAGCAGUACCGUGAGGUAUUGUGGAGCGGAUGGAAAAGCAAAUGUAGGCAUAAGUAACGAUAAUGCGGGUGAGAACCCCGCACGCCGAAAGAUCAAGGAUUCCCCGGCAAUGUCAAUCAUCCGGGGGUAAGUCGGAUCCUAAGGGUAAGCCGAGUGGCGAUCCCGAUGGCAAACAGGUUAAUAUUCCUGUACUGAUCAUAACUGCGAUGCAGCGACGCAGAGGUGACACUGCUGCGUACUGACGGAAUAGUACGUUGAAACCCGUAUUCUUUGAUACCGGUAGUGAAGCACGCCGGUAGAGAUGAAAGGUGAUAGUACCGCAAUGCUUCGGUUGCGCGGAUAAUGCAGGUAAGCUGACUGCCAAGAAAACCUGCUAAGCUUCAGGUAAUGAUCAUCCGUACUGUAAACGGACACACGUGAUCAGGUAGAAAAUACUAAGGCGCUCGAGAGAUUCAUGGUUAAGGAACUAGGCAAAAUGGUCCUGUAACUUCGGGAUAAAGGACGCUCUUGUGAAAGAGCCGCAGAUAAUAGGCCCAGGCGACUGUUUACCAAAAACACAUGGCUAUGCUAAUUCGCAAGAAGAUGUAUAUGGCCUGACACCUGCCCGGUGCCGGAAGGUUAAGAGGAGAGCUCAGAGGUAACUCGAAGGUUUGAAUUGAAGCCCCGGUAAACGGCGGCCGUAACUAUAACGGUCCUAAGGUAGCGAAAUUCCUUGUCGGGUAAGUUCCGACCUGCACGAAUGGUGUAACGAUCUGGGUACUGUCUCAACCAUGAGCUCGGUGAAAUUGUAGUUCCGGUGAAGAUGCCGGAUACCCGCAACGGGACGGAAAGACCCCGUGAACCUUUACUGCAGCUUUGCAUUGAUUUUGGGUAACAGAUGUGUAGGAUAGGUCGGAGGCUUUGAUGCUGCGUCGUCAGGCGUAGAGUAGCCGUCGUUGAAAUACGACCCUUUUGUUAUCUGAGGUCUAAUCCCGUUAGGGAGACAUUGCAUGGUGGGUAGUUUGACUGGGGUGGUCGCCUCCAAAAGUGUAACGGAGGCUUCUCAAGGUACCCUCAAGGCGUUUGGUAAUCGUCUGCAGAGUGCAAUGGCAUAAGGGUGCUUGACUGUGAGACCGACACGUCGAUCAGGUUGGAAACAAGAGCAUAGUGAUCCGGUGGUUCCGCAUGGAAGGGCCAUCGCUCA